rnacentral:rRNA from 1 species
UACGUAGGUGGCAAGCGUUGUCCGGAUUUACUGGGCGUAAAGGGCGUGCAGGCGGUUUGUUAAGUCCAGGGUGAAAGCUCCCGGCUCAACUGGGAGAGGUCCUUGGAUACUGGCAGACUUGAGGAGGGUAGAGGAGAGUGGAAUUCCCGGUGUAGUGGUGAUAUGCGUAGAUAUUGGGAGGAACACCGGUGGCGAAGGCGGCCCCCUGGACCGGUACUGACGCUGAGGCGCGAAAGCGUGGGUAGCAAACGGG